UGGCAGGGGGUCACCAGGUGGUCAGGAAACAAGGAAAGGGCAAUAGACUAUUGAAACAAGUGAAUGAAAGUUUCAUUUGAAACUUCACCAUCUCUCUCUUUGUUAAUGACAUCUAUACUCUCUCUCUCCACUUUCAAUUUCGAUAAUCACCUCCAUCCAUCCUCGCCGGAGAGGAGCGACGGCUGGCGGCGUUGUCGUCCUCUCCGGCAGCGCAACACUGCGGAACCCUAAAGCCUAAACACAAACCUCAGUUAUUUUUUCGUCCUUUUUUCGAAUCUCCACUUAUUUUCACCUAAAUCCCAACCAGAUGAGAGAUCAAGCCUACCUGAAAACCCUAACUAACAAAACUCGAAAUCAAAACCCAAUAUAUUCAAAACACAAAUAUUAAUCACAAUUCAGGAAAUUUACAAUUCAUAACAAGCAUUAACAGAACAAGAAAGUCAUAGGUACAUCGGUUAUCAAGAAAAAUCCAGGAAUUUUAAAGGUAUGAGACAAAACGAAAUAUCAUGUUGAUGUCUGUAAGCGAGGUAUUUCAAACAAAAGAAAUAUCUACCAAGAACUUCUUCAGACAAAUUAAAGUGGUGUAUGAAGGCCCAAGUGGUGUAUGAGGCGCUAGAUGACAGAAAACCAAGUGGUGUAUGAAGCCAAAUACUUACAAAUUUGAGAGGAUCCACACUUAGAAAUUCUUUUUGAUUUGUUCAAUUCUUGUUGUAAAGAAAAUUUGUGUUAUAUUUAUUGUAAAAAUAAAUAUAUGAGAAAGUCUGCUCUUUGUGACAAAGUGAUCAUUGCACUUA